rnacentral:rRNA from 1 species
CCCUUAGAUGUCCUGGGCCGCACGCGCGCUACACUGAGUGUCUGAGAUACGAGUCUGCCUGGUCCAGCAAGGUCUAGGUAAUCGCUAAAAGACACAUCAUGCUUGGGAUAGAUUAUUGCAAAUAUUAAUCUUGAACGAGGAAUUCCUAGUAAGCGCAAGUCAACAGCUUGCGUUGAUUACGUCCCUGCCCUUUGUACACACCGCCCGUCGCUACUACUGAUUGGAUGUUUAAGCGAGGUUCUCGAACUGCUAGCGACUUAGCUUCGGUGAGGUCGCAGUGUGGGAAGUGAACCUAGCUUUGGUGUCUAGAGGUAGUAAAAGUCGUAACA